AGAAACCCCCGACUGAACCAGGAGAGAGAGUCAGCGAUUUCCAUAGCAGAGCUGUUUUUCCCGAAAGUCAGUCCCUGGAUGGUGGCUCUGGGUGUGAUCCUGUGUCUCCUGGCUGUUCUCAUUGGCCUGGCUAGUUACUGCUUCUGGAGGCAACACAGAGCGAAAGAGCUCCUGCGAUCUGAGAUGGAGAGACAGAAAGAGGCUCUGCGAUCUGACAUGAAGAGACAGAAAG